rnacentral:pre_miRNA from 1 species
AGUGGAAGUGCUGGGUUAUAUGGCAACUCUGUUUAACUUUCUGAGAAACUGCCAAACUGUUUUUCAAAGUGGUUGCACCACUUUACAUACCCACCAGCAGU